UGCAGCCCGUAAAAAAACGAUCUUUUCAAAAAUCAAAGUUACAAUAAAUAAAAAUCAUCAAUUCUACUACGUCCUAAAAUCCCCAAAAUGCAACUAGCGUUUCUCCGUUGAAUUGCAAUAGAAACCUUUUGUAAUAAGUAAUCCAUUGAUCGUGGUUCGCCAGAAGCUUUUCGCAUUAAUGAACCCAAUUUCUUUAUAAAUGUACUUGUUUCAGGACCCAUGCAACCUAGUGAUUCAAAAGCAAUAGGUGUAAAUAAGUAAAAUGGAGCUAGUGUGUCUAAUGGUUACAUCCCACAAAAUCGGCUUACCGUGACUCCAUGGAAUUAGAGUCAUACCGUCCGGUCUUUUACCGUCGUCUCUAGAAAUGCC